rnacentral:lncRNA from 1 species
AUGUCAUCCCAGGUGCUGAGCUGUGAGGAGAGUAUCAGGGUUUGGGCUCUGCUGCCUUUCCCCGAAGAACUCACUUGGGAAGCAGUCAGAUUAGAAGAUAAUUCUGAAACAAAUGCCUGCCACUCUUUAAUUACAAAAAUGACGGAUGAGCUGUAUCACCAUAUGCCUGAGAAUCAUUGUGUUUUAAAGGACUUGGGUCAUCUUCCUACUGAGACGUGGCCCCAGCUGCUCCGUGAGCUCUGCAACACACCCGUUCCUACCCUGUUCUGCCCCAGGAUUGUGCUGGAAGUGCUGGUUGUGCUCCGAAGCAUUGGCAAGCAAUGCCACCGCGUGUCUGGCCAGGUCACCGUUGCCUCAGAACUGAGACACAGGCAGUGGGUGGAGAAAAUGCUGCAGUCUCGCCAGUGGCAGAACUACCUGCGUAUGUGGAAUAGGUGCAUGCUCACUUUCCUGUUUUGGAGGGGCACUGUGGGGCAGGAAGUUGUCACAGAUGCAGUUCCAGUCCCCACUGAAGACACACACAGUAGGUCCCUCACUGAACCCAUCGACAGGUGCUGAUGUACUUGGAGUUCACAAUUGAUAGUGUGAACCCAACGUAUCUGAGACAGGUCUCAGUCCGUUUAGAAAGUUUACUUUCCCAGGGUUAAGGACGUGCUGUGACAGCCUCAGGAGGUCCUGCCGGCAUGUGCCCCAGGUACUGGGGGCGCAGCUUGCUUUUAUCCAUUUUAUCCAUUUUAAGG